GUGUCAGCAGCCGCGGUAAUACGUAGGUGGCAAGCGUUGUCCGGAAUUACUGGGCGUAAAGGGUGUGCAGGCGGAUUCUUAAGUGAGAUGUGAAAUCCCAGGGCUUAACUGUGGAGCUUCAUUGGAAACUGGAUGACUUGAGUGCAGAAGAGGAAAGCAGAAUUCCAGGUGUAGCGGUGAAAUGCGUAGCGAUUAGGAGGAAUACCAGUGGCGAAGGCGACUUUCUGGACUGCAACUGACGAUGAGGCGUGAAAGCGUGGGGAGCAAACAGGAUUAGAUACCCUGGUAGUCCAUGCCGUAAACGAUGAAUGCUAGGUGUAAGAGGGAUUGCGCCCUUUUGUGCUGCAGUUAACGCAAUAAGCACUCCGCCUGGGGAGUACGGUCGCAAGAUUAAAACUCAAAGGAAUUGGCGG
rnacentral:rRNA from 1 species